rnacentral:siRNA from 1 species
UGCCUCGCAGGGACAUGCGGA